CUAAGAAUAUUCCGCAAUGGACGAAAGUCUGACGGAGCGACGCCGCGUGGAUGAUGAAGGCCGAAAGGUUGUAAAGUCCUUUUGCUGGGGAAGAAUAAGCGUGGGAGGGAAUGCCCGCGUGAUGACAUGAACCGGCGAAUAAGCCCCGGCUAACUACGUGCCAGCAGCCGCGGUAACACGUCGGGGGCAAGCGUUGUUCGGAAUUACUGGGCGUAAAGGGCAUGUAGGCGGCCGUGUAAGCUUGGCGUGAAAGUCCACGGCUUAACCGGGGGAUUGCGUGGAGAACUGCGAGGCUUGAGUGACGGAGAGGGAGCUAGAAUUCCUGGUGUAGGGGUGGAAUCUGUAGAGAUCAGGAAGAAUACCAAUGGCGAAGGCAAGCUCCUGGCCGAUGACUGACGCUGAGGUGCGAAAGUGUGGGGAUCAAACA
rnacentral:rRNA from 1 species